rnacentral:rRNA from 1 species
UACGGGGGGAGCAAGCGUUGUUCGGAUUUACUGGGCGUAAAGGGCGCGUAGGCGGCCACCGCAAGUCGACUGUGAAAAUCUCCGGGCUUAACCCGGAAAGGUCAGCCGAUACUGCGGGGCUAGAGUGCAGAAGGGGCAACUGGAAUUCUCGGUGUAGCGGUGAAAUGCGUAGAUAUGUGGAGGAACACCGAUGGCGAAGGCAGCCCCCCUGGGCUAACACUGACGCUCAUGCACGAAAGCGUGGGGAGCAAACAGG